rnacentral:rRNA from 1 species
CCUACGGGAGGCAGCAGUCGAGAAUCAUUCACAAUGGGGGAAACCCUGAUGGUGCGACGCCGCGUGGGGGAAUGAAGGUCUUCGGAUUGUAAACCCCUGUCAUGUGGGAGCAAAUUAAAAAGAUAGUACCACACGAGGAAGAGACGGCUAACUCUGUGCCAGCAGCCGCGGUAAUACAGAGGUCUCAAGCGUUGUUCGGAAUCACUGGGCGUAAAGCGUGCGUAGGCUGUUUCGUAAGUCGUGUGUGAAAGGCGCGGGCUCAACCCGCGGACGGCACAUGAUACUGCGAGACUAGAGUAAUGGAGGGGGAACCGGAAUUCUCGGUGUAGCAGUGAAAUGCGUAGAUAUCGAGAGGAACACUCGUGGCGAAGGCGGGUUCCUGGACAGUAACUGACGCUGAGGCACGAAGGCCAGGGGAGCGAAAGGGAUUAGAUACCCGAGUAGUC